ensembl:lncRNA
UAGAACACCACUAAACUCUGGGUCCCACCAGCAGCCCAUCUGUUUACUCUCCAAACCACGACCUACCCUGCGUUUUGCCCUCCAAUACUCCCCGUAGUAGAAGACCUGAGUAGUAGACCUCUGGUUAUCACAAGACAACAUAGAGGAUAUAGAAGAGAACGUACAACUGUUUUUUUUGCUGUGUUUACAGUAGGAUGUAGGGAAGUUAAUAUAACCUAUUCAAUAGUGAGAAUGGGUGAACCUUGGAGAGGGAGGCAAGAUGAAUAGAUUGGGGGUAGAUGUCGGGGUUUGAUUACAGGAUAGCUAGUAGCUAGUUAACCGAGGAUGAACAGGAUAGCUAGUAGCUAGUUAACCGAGGAUGAACAGGAUAGCUAGUAGCUAGUUAACCGAGGAAGAACAGGAUAGCUAGUAACUAGUUAUCCAAGGUUGAACAGGAUAGCUAGUAGCUAGUUAACUGAGGAUGAACAGGAUAGCUAGUAGCUAGUUAACCCAAGAUGAACAGGAUAGCUAGUAGCUAGUUAACUGAGGAUGAACAGGAUAGCUAGUAGCUAGUUAACCCAAGAUGAACAGGAUAGCUAGUAGCUAGUUAACUGAGGAUGAACAGGAUAGCUACGAGCUAGUUAACUGAGGAUGAACAGGAUAGCUAGUAACUAGUUAUCCAAGGUUGAACAGGAUAGCUAGUAGCUAGUUAACUGAGGAUGAACAGGAUAGCUAGUAGCUAGUUAACCCAAGAUGAACAGGAUAGCUACCAGCUAGUUAACUGAGGAUGAACAGGAUAGCUAGUAACUAGUUAACCGAGGAUGAACAGGAUAGCUAGUAACUAGUUAACCGAGGAUGAACAGGAUAGCUAGUAGCUAGUUAACCGAGGAUGAACAGGAUAGCUAGUAGCUAGUUAACCGAGGAUGAACAGGAUAGCUAGUAACUAGUUAUCCCUAGAUGAACAGGAUAGCUAGUAGCUAGUUAACUGAGGAUGAACAGGAUAGCUAGUAACUAGUUAUCCCAAGAUGAACAGGAUAGCUAGUAGCUAGUUAACCGAGGAUGAACAAGAUAGCUAGUAGCUAGUUAACCCAAGAUGAACAGGAUAGCUA